AGGGCUUGUUGUUGGGUGGGGCCAGUGUCUAGGGUGGGCUGCCUGCCCUGGCUGAGCUGGAUUAAAUCGGUGCUCUAGCGGGUGGGGCAGACCCUGGGCUAGCAGGCCUCAGGGAGAACUCCAAUGGCGUCUGUGUCAGCAUGCCCACACCGGGCCACAACAAUGGCCGCCGCCAAUGUCCCAGUCCCUGGAGAGGUCUCACCCCUCACCGAGAUGCACUCAGGGCCUAUUAGGAAGGUACUAGAAUAUAUGCUUUAGAAAUAUAAGAGAAAAAAACAAAAAAGAAGAUCCAGGAAUCAAGGUUCAAGUACAAGAGACCAGCAGAGCCUCUCACGCUGUUUAGGACCUCACGUAGCUACUGAGGGCAGUUAUGGCUAAGAGGCGCUAACCUGAAAGGAGCUUCAAGAAAAGCCACAAAACGCCAGUCACUGCAAACUCGGAAAGACGCUGUUGGCUCUAGACCUCAUGAAGAUCAGCUUCCCGGAAAUAACCCGAGUUGAACAUGGACCAAGACUAUUAGACAUUCAGUGUGGACUCAUGUCUGCAGGAGUCAAAAAGAAAAAAACAUUUCAGCAAGUUUGUGGAAAAUAAACCGUCACUCAACUUUGGUCAAAGGUGAGAAUUUCCACCAAGAAUUGCAUGAUACAGUACAAAAUCUAAGUAACACACAAGUAGCUGGUCUAUUCAUGAAAACCAAUAGGGAAAAACAUCAAACUAGUUAUUUGGCAGGUAAAAUAAAAUAAUAACCAAACACAUGUUUGACUCAGUUCCUUUACUUUUCAGACAGUUUUGUUGCAUUCUCACUUCAAACAUUGUAAAAAUAAACGGCUGUACCUCUGCUUUUGGAAAUACCUGUUUUCGUGUUAUUUUUGAUGACUUAAAAGGGAGCAUACCAUUCUGAAUUUCACAGUGACCAAUGUAUUUGUAACACGACGAUACUCUUUUAUUUCAGGAAGCUGCCAAAAGCAAUUACAGAGGGCUGUAUUCGUUACAGCAGAAUACACCUUGUUAAAAUAAUUGGAACAUUAUACACUACAAUCUUGGCAAAAUGUACCAACUGUGAAGAGAUGUCACUGUCUUAAUAAUUCUAUGAUAGCCACAAGAGGACAAACAGUUGUUGUUGACAAGUGUUUGAUCUUCAUAAGUCCGCUGCUGUGACAAACUACAAACUAUAUUUUAUCCUCUACUUCUGUGAUCCUUCACCCAGAUAAGAACCAACACCUGGCAUCUUUUCAAAUUUUCUUUUUUUUUUUUUCCUUUUACAUCAGUGGCAAAAGUUAAAAAGGUAACAUGAAAAGAAAGAUGAAACAGGAAUACUGUUCAAAUUGAAGGACUGUAGUUUCAAGUUUCAAUCCUGUAUCAAAACAUCUCCGCCUUAUCUUCUUUUCCAGUCAUCACAAAUGACAAGUAUAAAGAGAUACACAAACAUCAGUACAAUGCUGUGUGUGUACUGCAAUCCAAAAAUCACAGCUACAAAAUUAUACCUGACAUAUCAAAAACCGACAGUCACAUCCUCAAGAUUUUCUUCUCUUGUUCCCAUGGACCUUCUUGAUUAAUAAAUCUGACACAUAAAAAGCAUCUAUAUGACUAAAGUGCCAGUUACUGGAAAGACCGUUUUGAUCUAUUUCUCAACUUUUAGAAGAAAUAUUCUCUUUUUCAUGAAUACAGCAUCCAUUCACUGACUGCCAGCUUUCAAAUGACCACCUCUUGAAGUUUAAUUUUAAGUUUUAAAUAAAUAUUGUAUGCAUUCAGAAUAAUUACGAUGCUCUAGAGAGAUAUCGUAUAAUGACAUUGAUUCUUUUUUAUCUGAAAAUGCCAAGCCCUUCAGGCAGCCAAGUCUGCUUUUCCCACAGACGUGGGAAGGUUCAUUCCAUGUGUUAAAUUUCAGAAGGGGCAUGCGUGGCGCUUUCAUUAAGAUGCUGGCAGUAUUUCGUGAGUAAACUCCAGUUUUCAUGAGUUUAAAACUUCUUUCAUAAGACUCAUCUGGUCUAAGCUACAGAAAGGAACUCA